rfam:Streptomyces violaceusniger Tu 4113, complete genome.
CUUGAUGGACCCCAGCCACAACGGCCGCUCCCCAUCCCGGUCCUGGCCGUACGUGGCCAGCAGCGCCUGCGCCUC